rnacentral:rRNA from 1 species
UACGGGGGGGGCAAGCGUUGUUCGGAAUUACUGGGCGUAAAGGGCUCGUAGGCGGCCAACUAAGUCAGACGUGAAAUCCCUCGGCUUAACCGGGGAACUGCGUCUGAUACUGGAUGGCUAGAGGUUGGGAGAGGGAUGCGGAAUUCCAGGUGUAGCGGUGAAAUGCGUAGAUAUCUGGAGGAACACCGGUGGCGAAGGCAGCUCGCUGGGACGGUACUGACGCUGAGGCGCGAAAGCGUGGGGAGCAAACAGG